rnacentral:lncRNA from 1 species
UUUUGAGUUUGCUUUGUUUUUGUUGUUUUCUAACUUUGCUUGUUGUCUCCUUCUGCUAGACGUUGGGCAUUUAUAUGGAAAUCGAUGCUCGGGAUCAAUCCCUCUAGAGCUCGAUGGACCUGCAGAUCAAUGAAGCCCGCCAUGAGGAGAAUCUCAUGGCGACUGGUGAUGCUUGCGGGCACAUAGUUGCUCUUAAGAGCCAGCUUGAUGACCUCACCCUUC